CCAGACUCCUACGGGAGGCAGCAGUGGGGAAUAUUGGGCAAUGGACGCAAGUCUGACCCAGCAACGCCGCGUGAAGGAAGAAGGCUUUCGGGUUGUAAACUUCUUUUAAGGGGGAAGAGCAGAAGACGGUACCCCUUGAAUAAGCCACGACUAACUACGUGCCAGCAGCCGCGGUAAUACGUAGGGGGCAAGCGUUAUCCGGAUUUACUGGGUGUAAAGGGAGCGUAGACGGCAGUGCAAGUCUGAAGUGAAAGCCCCGGGCUUAACCCGGGAACUGCUUUGGAAACUGUACGGCUGGAGUGCUGGAGAGGUAAGCGGAAUUCCUAGUGUAGCGGUGAAAUGCGUAGAUAUUAGGGGGAACACCAGUGGCGAAGGCGGCUUACUGGACAGUAACUGACGUUGAGGCUCGAAAGCGUGGGGAGCAAACAGGAUUAGAUACCCCAGUA
rnacentral:rRNA from 1 species